AGAAGAGAUUAAUAUUGGUUGUUUUUUGUUAUAUUUCUUGUUUUAAUGAAAUGGAAAUUAGGAGUAAACACGGGACAGAGAGGCAUGAAGACACAAAGCAGUGAAAACAUGAAGCUUGUGAGGAUUGUCAGAUGGAGAAGCUUUUUUGAUUUAAGACCGAACUUCUCUGUUGAUCCACACAGACCUGAAGAGUGUCGAUCUGAAGCAUCAGAGAUGAUCAAACAUGAGCUGAGAUCAUGAACAUGAAGAAAUGAUGUGUGGAUGUCUGAAACUACAUUCAUGAAUCACGUGUGUGUCUUCUGGACUCUGAAGAUCCUGACAGCAGCUUUAUUCAGGACGGAUCAUCAUGAAAUAAGAUGACCUUAAAUCUUCCCUGGAGAACAAACCAGCAGGAGAAAUGAAUGUUGGAUAAUCUGUGUCAGUAUCUAUAUUAGGCUUUGUGGGGAAAACAGGAAUGAGUGUAAAUCAAAUACAUAAAUGCUAUCAUUUUUCAUAUAGUUGUAUAGUUUUUGUUCUGAACAUAUUUCAUCCAGUCAUAACUGUUACAGUAUUGUGUCUUUUCCAUGUUAAAUAUGACACCUGAACCUGCUGUUUCCUGUAAAUAUUUGAAUAAUUUGUCAUUUAGUUUUCUCCAUUUAAGGUUCUCAACUUUUUCAUUUCUGUGAAACAUUUACUGUAACAGCACUGCAGUAGAAACUGAAUUAAACAAUAAAGUCCGUCCUGGAGAUACAGACACACUAUUUUAAAUAAAAUAGAUAAAUGAUCACAUGUUUGAGCAUUAACUCUUUCUGAACUCAUUUUCUCCACGGCUCAUUCAGUGGUCUGUUACACUCAUCAUGACCUUUAGUUUGAACACAGAUGCAAACACUGUCUUUCUUUAUUGUGUCCAAUUAAUAAACAUUGCUUCAGUUAA